CGUUGGCCUUCUGCAGCUCUGCUUUUAAAAGUUUCAGACGGCAUUCAUGGAAGCCGUCGUGCUCUCGAAGAUGGCAAUCUAUUCAUGCGCCUCAAGCGUGUUGCUAUUGGCAGCGGCCCUGGCCUCCUCGGAUUAAUUAUUGCUACUGACUGCCCAGGUUAUUUUUCUCAUGGAGUAUUGAUUAAAUGAUUAUAAUUUGUAACUUUGGCAAAGCAUCACACCAGUGCUAUUCUUGAUUGAGAAGAGAUCAUUGAAUUGAUAUUUCUAGAGGUGAGUUUUUUACUGUCCUGUAUAAUUUUCAUUUAGCAUAUUUUAUUGAAGGUUUAUAUAUUGCUAUUGUUUUUCUUUGAAGGGUAUAAGUUUUGAUUGUCUAAUGUGGGUAUCUAAAAUUUUGCGUUUUUCCAAGGUUGGAAAGUUGCCCUUUUUCAGUCGAUGAAUAAGCAUUGCCUUUUCUUGGAGCAUGCUGUUGGUAUACUGGCAUUACGAGUCUUGUUUCUCUAUUACUUUUAUUACUACUACUAUCUUUUAUGUAGUGGCAGAGUAACCCUUAAGAGGACACCUGGGUUGUCCUUCUAAGCUAUAACUGCUGGACGGGGACUUCUCUUCUGGCACCGCUAAGAAUCGUGUGCAUUAUAAUCUGUUAUCUUGGUUUAUGCAAGUAAGAAUCCUGUCUCUGGCAGUGGAGACUCACUUCAUCCUACCAAUUCCAAAGGCAAAGUCUCAAUUUAUAGUUUUAGCUUAAGAGAGGGAAGCCUAUUUUACCCUUCUGAAUCCUUGGGAAAUGGUUUUGAUGGAGGGGUAAGGGGUUAUCAAUUGUGACAAACUCUUUGAUGGUUGAACACACAAAUGAUAAACCAUUGAAGUAAUAGAUGAUAUAUUGCUAAGCUCAUGAACUUUACCACUUGGAGGGGUUAGAUGCAGAUUAUUUGAAUAGUUUGUGAAUAAUGUUCAGGUUGAUGUUUAAUUUUUCAUGAUCAUCAUUAAUUUGGAAUCAUGUACUCCACUUAGAAGAAAAGACACCUAAAUGUCCUUAUUUAAAGAAAGAAAGGUAAAUGCUCAUACAACUUGCCAGUUUGAUCGAUUUUAUUAGUUUGUUGUGACUUUUAUGAAAGUUUCUCUCUCUGCUGAAAAAUUCCUUUUUGUAAAGUUACUUCCCAACUUGAAGAGUAUCAAAGCUGUUCCUUCAACUAGUGGAAGAUAUGGUAUUGCACAUAAGUCCUGGAUGGGUAGAUUUAAUUGAAUCCAUAAUGUCUAGUCCAACAAGAAUAUAUGCAUUGCAUCCAUCACAGCUCCCUUGCAGCCGAGAAGCAGGUCAAUAUAUGUUACAUAUCCAUAAAUUGAGAUGACCAAAAAUUUCUCUCUCCCCAUGCUAGGACUUACAAGUAAUUGGACCAGCCAAUUUUGUAGAAAACAGCCUAUGUAGACUAGAUUGUUAGUUGUUGGGCAGAUCUAAAUCACAUCUCCGAUUAGUAUUAGCUUUUACUCUUUACUAGUCCUUAUCCUUUGAGAAUAAAAUAGUUUAUCUUAUCUUUUCCACAUUUUAUGCCAUUGUAAAAGAAGAAAGAAACAAAUAAAAAAUGAAGUGGGAAUUAUUGCGAUGUCGAAAGGUAUUGUUAAGAAUUACUUUAUGUAAUGAUUGUCUUAUUUCUACUAGGAAGUAAAAAGAAAAAAGAUCAAUUACCAUGAUCUUGGAAAGGGGCCUUCUUGAAGAAAUGAUAGCUUAUCAUGUACAACAAAGGGAGGAAAUUUUCUUUUUAGUGGGCAGAUGGGCUACAUUGAUGGGGGUAACCCUCCCCACCAACCUUGAAGCCACCCAAUCCCUGGUGAAAGUGGGAUUCAAUCCCAAGUCUCCCCCACAACCAGAAAGCCACCUGGUACCUUCUUUCCAGGAGAAAAUUAAGUGGGCAGGAAGAAGCAGUUCACUUGAUGGGGGCUUCCAUGUUAUAAAUAUGCUCAGUAGGGUCUUAACUGUUUCUGAUAUUCCCAGUUUUGACCUAUCAUUUCUUUGUUAUAAUGUAACUGGGAACUGGUUUUUCAAUUAAACAAUCCCAUGAUUCAGCAACUUUUGCACCAGGGUCCCAGGGGAAUCACAUAGUCCACGUGGACAACAAACUGCUAUUGUUUGCUUAAAAUGUUAUCCUACUCCAAGGAAGUAUCCUCAACAGCCUGGUAUACCAACAAAGGUACCUCUGUAAAUGAUUUCCAUUUUCCUGACUAAUAUUUGUUUCAAUUUCAUUGUUUACUUGGAACCUUGAAAUGGGCAAGAGUAGAUUAGAAAACGUUCUCAAUCAAAUUGUUAUUUAAAUUUACUAACAAUUUGCCUGAUCAUGCGGGACUGGGCUUUACUAGGUUUAGUGCUUCUCGUGCUUCUUAAUGAGUUACCUAAUACAGUUGAUUUUGCCAUG